UACGUAGGGUGCAAGCGUUGUCCGGAAUUAUUGGGCGUAAAGAGCUCGUAGGCGGUCUGUCGCGUCGAAUGUGAAAACCCGGGGCUCAACCCCGGGCCUGCAUUCGAUACGGGCAGACUAGAGUUCGGUAGGGGAGUCUGGAAUUCCUGGUGUAGCGGUGAAAUGCGCAGAUAUCAGGAGGAACACCGGUGGCGAAGGCGGAUCUCUGGGCCUUACCUGACGCUCAGGUGCGAAAGCUAGGGGAGCAAACAGG
rnacentral:rRNA from 1 species